UACCUGUUGUGAAGAACUGACUCAUUGGAAAAGAUCCUGAUGCUAGUAAAGAUUGAGGCCCAGAUUUCUGCUCUGAGCCCAGACCAGUAGCAUAGCUGACAUCGCCAUUGGGAAACCUCAAGAGAAAACAUCUCAAACGUCACCCUUGAAGUUUUCCCUCUUCAAUCCAGUUGUAUUUCAGUGUAUGACAUGGGUAUCCAUCCCGAGGGAUCUCAUUUGGGUUAGCAACUCUUUCACCUUGAAAACUUCAAACAAACCAGGAAAUACCAGUCCUUUCAAACAGAGUUCUAAGAAGGUCAUGGACAGUCUGGAGGACCAGUGAAGUCAGGAAUGAACCAACAUCGCUCACACUGCUGAACUGUCCAUCAGGAGAGACACUAGGAAGCAAACUAGAGAUGCUGUGGUCUGACUCCUUCAUUUCACACAUGAGGAAACAGUCUCUGUGGUAUUCACUGCUCUGUCCACAUUGCAUAACUGGGUGGCAGUGGAGAUAGAACUUGAAAGCAAUGAUCACAACUCAGGCCAAUUCCAUUUCAAUUAUCCAUUCAGAUCAAUGGCUUAUUCUUGACUCCAGAUCUCAGACAACUUGGAUCUAAUGAUAUGAAACACCAUAGAAAGAAAAUAGCCUUGUAAGGUAUGAAAAUGCAAACACGCACACUUGCUAAGUUGGUUUAGUUGUGCCUGACUCUGUGACUCUGUGCGACCAUAUGGACUUAGCCCUCCAGGCCCCUCUCUCCAUGGGAUUCUCCAGAAAGAAUGCUGGAGUGGGUGGCCAUGCCCUCCUCCAGGGGAUCAACCUGAUUCAGGGACCAAACCUGCAUCUCUUAUGUCUACCUGCAAUGGCAGGUGGGUUCUUUACCACUAGUGCCAUCAUAGGCCUACGUCUGAUGAAGUAGCUGCCCUGAGACAUUAUUAUGUUCUGUAAUCUGCCCUCCUGUCGAAUAAAGAGUUCUCUGAAAAAUUUUUAGGAAAAAUCAAGUAUUCAGGUUCCAUUUUCCUCCCGGAAGGCCAUCACUCUGUAACUCACUGUAUAAAUCUGUGCCAUGUGCAUCAGGGUCUGUUUUUUUUUUUUUAAUUAAAAUUUUUUUGUAUAUGUGGACAAAUUUUUAAACUCUUUGUUGAAUUUGUUACAAUAUUGCUUCUGUUUUAUGUUUGGUGU